UCUGACUUGAUUUGUCAGAGAGCCAGAACUGCAGGCAAAUAGACACCAGAGAAAUCAACCAAUCUUUUAAGCCAGCCAGUAAUUGUUCCUCCUGUCGGCUGGCUAAAUGACUUGUAUCUGGAGGAGAUGCUCAGAAUGAACCCGAAUGCCUGAGGUGACGGAAACAGAGAGCAUUCCAAAGUGGGCUCUAACAGACCUCGGUCCCUGGAAAGGAGUCUGUGACAGGCUGCAUGCCCUGAGUGGCGAUUUUGAAGGCAGAAGAAACAACAAAAAAAUUAUGAGUGCUUGGACUACUAACCUGUGGGAUUUACUUCGAGGUACAGGCUGUGGUGUUUUUCAUCUCCGCAUAAUCCAGUGGGACCUGGCACAAUAACUCACUUCGAAGAGCCCAUGGAGCAGUUGAUGUGACCGUCUCUGGCCGCUAGACCCGGAACAUCUUGAAGAUGGGAACUAUCCAUUCAUCUUCGCAUCCCCACUCCCCUAACAGACUGGGGGGUUAGUGGGUGACACCUCGUUGUCGGAACUAUCCAAAAGAGAGAUUUUAGGAACAUGGGUGGUGCGACGUGCAGUUGCCGUAGCAAAGCCUGUGCGCACGUCAUAUGUCACAUCCCUGCUGAUGCUGUUAAUGCUGCUCUGGCAGAAGCAGUACUCUCAUUACAUGCUGCUGGCCCAUAUUUGUAAUGUGUGACAUUUUUUAUGAAAUACUAUCAAGGGUAAUCCAUCAUACAGUAAACUUUGGAUUAUAUGCUGAGACUGGUCUUAAACAUAGACAUAAAUGAACUUCAAAAAUAAUGCUGUUUUCUGAGAAGGGUAUGAUCAAAGAGUUGUGGCUAGGAAAAUAAAGCAGAACAUUAUGCUCUUUAAAGUUAAACAAAAAGUGCCUGAAAAAGAGGUUUCC